rnacentral:lncRNA from 1 species
GCUGUGCCUGGGGCAUAUGGAAGUUCUUGGGCUAAGGAUCAAACCCAAGCCACAGCAGUAACCUGAGCCAUAGCGGUGACAACACCAAGUCCUUAACUGCUAGGCUCCCAGGAAACUCCCUAACUUCAGCUUUUUAAUGUGUAAGCCGGAUUAGAUAAUUCCAAGGUUUGCUUUAGCUCUAAAUAAUGAUUCCUCUCCAUUCUCAGGCCAUUAUGUUCCACAUAAAGAGCCCUGUUAACCCAUGAUGUGUGUUGUAAGUUAAUUGAGAAGAGUGUUUAAAGGAAGAAAUCCUAAAAAGGAGAUAUGUUAUUAACAUUUAAAAUUUUAAAAACAGCUGUAUUGUAGUAUAAUGAUUGUACAAUAAACUACACAUACUUAGAGUCUACAGUUUGAUGCGUUUGGCAUAUCAUCACUGCAAUUCAGACAGUGAACAUAUCUGUCACCCCAAAGUUUUCCCGUGCCCCUCUUUGGUCCCUUCCUCUUGCCCCUUCAGCCCUCCACACCACCAACACCAAAACAACCAAUUAUCUGCCAUCACUCAGAUCACUUUACCUGGUUAGCGUAGUAUAUGAUGUAUAUCCUUUUUGUCUUCUUUCAUUCCUACAUAAUUAUUCUGAGAUUUAUCUAUGCUGUUGCAUGUAACAGUCCAUGAACAAAGUAUUUUUCCAUUUAUUUGUCUUUAAUUUUUCUUAGGAAUAUUUUGCAUUUUUUCUUUUUUUUUUGGCCGCCCCUCGGCAUAUGAAGUUCUCAGGCCAGGGAUGAGCUCUGAGCCACAGUUGCCACCUAAGCCACAGCUUGGGCAACACCGAAUCUUUAACCCACUGUGCCGUGCUGGGAUCAGACCUGUGUCCCAGGGGCUCCCAAGAUGCCACUGAUGACGUUGCAUCACAGCAGGAACGCCAGGACUAAUUAUCCCCUAGAUGGUUCAUAUUUUUUGAAGGUAUUAUAAAUGAUACAGUUUCUAAAAUUUCAAUUCAAUUCGGUUUCUGAUUGUGGCUAUUAUAAUUAGUACAUUAAUUUUUGUAUAAUGAUUUUCAAUUAUGUAUAGCAAUGACCAUAUAAUAUUGUAAUUAUAUAUCCUGUAAUUAUGCUAAAUUCACUUACUAGUUCUAGUGGCUGUUGUAUAGAUUCCAUUUGCUAUUUGAACAUAAAUGGUUAUUAUGUCUACAAAUAAGGACAAUUUACCUCUUUCUUUCCAAUCUGAAUUUCUUUCCUUAUUUUUCUUGCUGGUGGCGCUGUUGGUGAGAAGGCACAUUCCUGUCUUGUCCUUGAUCUUAGGGCAAAAGCAUUCAGUCUGUCGCCAUAACUGUGUUUUAGCUUUAGAUUUUUUCAUAGAUAAUCACAGGGGGUUUUAGUUUGUUAAUUUGGUGAAUCACAUUGAUUGCUUUUCAGUAUCAUACCAUUCCAUGUACACAGCCGACGUCUUCCGUUUGUUGAUGGGUUUGCCUAGUAGAGUUCUGCCCCAUCUCUCUUGCAUCACUCUUAUCCCUAUUGUCUUGCGGAGGGAGAGCCUGGAUAUUUGUGGAGCAGAGCAUCCUUCUGGAUUUCAGAGUGUUUUCUUUUGUCAGCUUCUCACGGUUGCCUUGCCCAUACGUACGCGAAGAGCGGUUUGUCCUUAAAUCUCCUAUACUUGGUACGUGUUUCUAGAAUAUGCUUCUUGGGUUUUAGCGAUACAACAAUUCCCCUUCCAUAUUUCUGUUUUAUAGGUGUCGAUAAUAAAGUAUUAAUAGUUUAAUUGCAGUACCCGGCAAAACUGGUGUAAACGCAUUCGGGACCGAUUACAGCAGCGUGUUAGUGAGCAUGCAGCUUAGCUGAUGAGAGCAGAUGUGUGUGGACAGACUAGAGACUAGCCAGCAGGAUGCAAAGAUGCAGCGUGUGUAGUAGCAUCACUCCGUCAGCUAUAUGGAGAGCAUAACGGAAAGGAGUGGUUACUGCAGGGAAUAAGGGAGAUGGAAGUUGAUUAAGGGAGCCUCUGUAGACCUCUUGCACCACCAUAAGCAGUACUUCUAACUUUCAGUAGCCAGUGGGCAAAACAAGAUUUUGGUCACAAGACCUACUGUGUGAGGAACGCAAAUAAGUCAACACUGAUUUAUCUUCACAGCUUGAGAAGUAGCCAUGACCUAGGGUAGCUCCUUGUACCAGCUUUAACCACAUUGAUAGCAAAUAUGAUAGAGCUGAAAGAACCCUGGAUUUAGGGUUAGAUGCGUCUGGGUCUGAUUAUCAACAGCUCUCUCUGUGUGGUUGAGCAACCUUGGGUAAAUUAGUGUUUCAGAGGGUCGUCUUGAAGGAUAAGAGAGUGUUUGUUUUGAUUCAAUAUAGGCAUCCCUUCUGUGCGGUUCGAAUCCCCAUUCUAAGAUGCACACUGGUGCUUUGCACCCAACCGUGUGAUCCUUCUGCCUGCAAGUCCACCACUUCCAGCUCAUCACAGUGUUUACUGGAAGAGGGGCAGGCAGAGCAUCCAAGGCACAGGAAACAGCUUGAACGUCAGAGUCAGGAGGCCAGCAAACAAAGGCUUGCGUGGGAAGAUGCGAGCAGUCAGUGUUCGGCUUGGGGCUGGCGGGGGUUUGGGCUUGAGGUAGCGUGGGAGGACAGCUUGAAAGGUAGACCCGUGAAGGAACAUGCCAAGCCUUAAAGACUCACGGAGCCUGGUAGGCAGUGGAGAGCCUUUGAAACUUAUUUUUUGAGCGCCAUGGUGAAUGCCGUGCCAGAGAUUCUCCAACCUUGACUGCAUCAGAAUCACCUGGGAGCUUGUUAAAAAUACAUAUAGCACAGCCCCGCCCAGACCUGCUCAAUCCUAAUCUAUAAGUUGGGGUCAAGGCAUCUGUAUUUUUAACAAGCUCCCCAGGUGAUUCUAAUGCACGCCAGAGUUUAGAAACCACUGCUUUAGAAGGUUAAUCUGGCAGCAGUGUGCAAGAUGGAUUGGAGCCGAGAGAGCCUGGAGGUUCGGAGACCUGCUAGCAAGCGAUUGCAACAACAGUCCCGGCAGGAGAUAAUGAGGUUGGGGGCUGUGGGAACGGAAAGCAAGACUCAGACAAGGGAGGCAUUUUUGAGAGGCAGUCAGCGAGGACUGGGUAGCCUGUUGGAUGAGGAAUGUGAGAGAGAAACGAGACUUAACAAAUAGUGCCAAGGUUUAGCGAAGCCGUCCUCCCUUGGGACCUUAUUCAGAGGACACACACCUGCCGCCCGUCCCCACCUUCCAUGCCUCCCUCCCUCCUCCCCCCCUCCCCUAAGGCAUGGUGGGAGGGGACACAUCAGCACCUCCGGGGAGGCACAGGUGUGGCGGGGGAAGACGCCUUCCCCAGCUGAUCCCUCGGGUGGCAUCUCUGUGACUGUGAGAAGAACAGCACCACUGGAGGGGUGAGAUGGGGGCGAGGGGGCGAGCUCUGUAAGGGAGGACGGCCUAGAGCCGCCAGCAGCACUGAGAGUACCUGCAUCCGGAGCCGGGGAGCAAGAGCUAGCGGGGCAUAGAUGUGCAAGGCCACCCUGUGGGAGGUCACAGUGGAGACAGAUGAGGCCAUGGAGAGAAGAGAGGAAAGGGGUCCGGAGAGAGAGCUUCCAUUUAGUGGUCACAGGAGCCCUGGCUCCUCCAGUCGUCCCCCUCCGAAGGGUUUCGUGCACAGAGCACUGAUGUCCCCCAGAGGGAUGUGGCACAUCGCUGGAAAGGGCUCAGUGCUCUUCAGAAACACACCUUUUAAAAUUUCCUUUCCGAACUCCAGUGUCUUUGAGCUGACAUACCAGAGAGGCUGACAGAUUUUCACUGUUAUACCCUACCCCCGAGGCUUCUGAUCGACUCCUAACCCUUCCAUGUACACUUUUGGCCCAGCACAGCCAAAUAUGAGGUAUUAUAUGUCAUUAGAGUGCUUUGGGGUCCCUGCUCCCCCCCAAAGUUCCAGAUAUUCUGCCUGUGUUUUGUGAGCUCCCGCUGUGAAAAUAGGAUGUUGUGUUUUGGAGGCACCUCCAGGGUGCCCGGCAAUUGGCGCAUCUUAACUAAAAGAAAACAAAUUGAAUGAACAGCAGUACAGGAGAAGGACAUUUGUAUCAACCCAGGAAGGAGCGAUUUACGCAGAGAUGCUAUUUAUGAUGCUGCGAGGCUGCGGUUCUUGACGGGGCCAUCACGAAGCCUGGCCACUCCCGGCACUGGCAGCCUCAGCCUCAGCUGAAGCCAGGGGCCGUAUAGGAUCCACUGUCUCAGAAGGCGCUCGGCGGGGCUGACGCCGCAUCCCGUCUCACUGUAAAAAGGGCUGACACAGGGGAACUGAUCUUGGAAUAGCCUUGGUAGUUAUUUCCUUUUUGAGUCAGGAAACCAAGGCAUUGUGGGUAAUGAAGAAGCGAUUCUCUGGUUACACAGCUCCUGGGUGAUGGGGAGGGAAGGAGAUUUAGCCGAGUGUUUUGGUAGGUUGAGUGCACUGGGGUUUUUUUGUGGAACCUAUUUUCGGAGAAGACUCUUAAAUUAGAGAAAGCCUUGCACGUAGAAGGGACGACAUUGGAAGAGUCCCUCCGAGAUGGCCUGGACAUAGCUCUCAUCCCACUUCCUAACCGUAUGACCUUGGGCAAUUUAUUUAACCUUCAAUUGCUGAGCUUCAAUUUCCAUUGUAAAGGGAAGGUAAUCACAUUUAUCUCCUGAGAGUAGUUUUGGGAAUUAAAUAUGAUGGGACCAUUUCAGUGCCUGGCGUGGAGCUGAUCCCCCAUAAUUGCUAACAAUUACAAUAAUUACUGGGUUUUCCCCCUGUCCUCGGAGACUUCAUGCACUCCCCUGGAUGCACCUGAAGAGAGAGUACUUUUUAUUGUUGGCAUUUCUAGUUUGAAUUUUUAAUAUUUUUCCCCACAGGAGUGUUAUAGCUAGGUGGAGCUUAGGUGUAGGUGAAAUACCACUGUUAAUAAAUUCUAUCCUUUAAGGCAUUUAUAUGCUGAAUAGGACUUUUUGGGUAGGCCUGGGCACCAGAAUUUCUGAGGAAAGGUGCCCUAACCCCUUAUUUACAAAUGAACUUCUAUUGAGCCACCUGCUCAGAAGUUGCAGAAUUGCUGAAACAUUGCCUUGGGCAGGGCGUGUGAUCACCACAUGAAUAGAAACCAGCAGGAUGUGAGGAUUUCCACACACCAGCAAGAGCACUCUGCAGUUUCUUGCCACCACUGCCCCAGGCAAAGAUGCAGCCAGCCAGUCAAGUCAAUGCUUGGAAUUGUGUCAGGAGACUUGGCCAGGGUCCCCCCACCCAUCCCUGCACCUUAGGUCCCACUGCUGCUCUCCGUGGUGGUUGCCAACAUAAAUGCCAUCCCCUGGCACUUCCCAUUGAAACAAACUGGAAAACAGCAGGGUCUUUCUCUCAUCAGAUCAUCGCUGUCUGCCUGGCAUCUGUCUGACUGCCUGACAUGGCCAAGGAUCUGCCUCCCAGUGAGCAUCCUUACAUGUAAACAUCCCCCCAAGACACCUCGACUCUGGGGUUUCAAGGGUCCCAUCCAUCUUCCCCCUCUCACUCUCAGCAAAAGAAACUGCUUAAGAAGGGGUGAAGGAUCAGGCCUCUCUCUGGCUCCCUAUGGGGUCUUAUUUCCCGAAGAACCUGAGCAGAGCCACAAAAGAAUAAAUAAAGAAGCCUUGGCAGAAUGUUUUGAUACAAAAUUCAUUACAGCUUUGUGUAUGAGCUGGACGGUUUGGGUCCUCUUAAGCCUGUGUUGAUACUGCAGUCCUUUCGGUGCAAGCUUCGUGUUUAGAGAGAGGUUUUGGAAGGAGAUCAAAGAUGUCAGAUUACUGGCCUGAUUCUUAAAGAACUGGUUUGGGGGAAAGCUUAAAAAUAUUCACACUCAGGUUCAAAAAGGAGAAGCAGGAAUGAGUCCAGAAAGCUUGGGUGACAGGGAUAGCAGUUGUAAUAUUUUUUAAGAAAACAAGAAUUUGAAUGUCUUCUGCAUGUCCUUUCUUGCCUGAAUCCCCACAUGCAUUUUCUCUUUUUGAGGUCUUCCAUACCCAGUCUGUGUUUUUCUUGCUUUAUAACUUACCUCCUGAGCCUCCAGGGUAAAAUCCAUCACUUGUCACUCUACUCUCAUUUUUUUGUGGGCAGAGGGUAUUGUAGGGGUGAUUAGAAUCCAUCAGGGUCAUAAUUAAAAGGAGGUAAGAAGCUAAGUGUGGAGUACCCGUUGUGUCUCAGUGGCAACGAACCCAACUAAUAUCCCUGCAGACACAGGUUUGAUCCCUGGCCUCGCUCAGUGGGUUAAGGAUCCAGCAUUGCCGUGAGCUAUGGUGCAGGUCGCAAAUGUGGCUCAGAUCCUGUGUUGCUGUGGCUGUGGUGUAGGCUGGCAGCUGCAGCUCCAAUUGGACUCCUAGCCUGGGAGCCUCCAUAUGCCUCGG